UUUGUUAUCUGGUUUGUUGUUCUCCCCCAGGUCAGGAAGACCGCAGCCGAGAAGCUCUACGAGAUGUUGCUGAUGUACGAGGACGUCGUGCCGGAGGACAAUCAAGACGAGAUACUGACGAUACUCAGCGAGACCAAAUGGGAUGAAAGUGUGGCAACCAUCCGUCCAAUCCGCAACCAGCUCUGUGACCUCAUGAAUAUUUCUAGGCCUGUAUUAAAGAGUGCAAAAACUACAGACACCACUCCCCCAGCACCAAGCCAAACAUGAUUCCUUAUUAUUCAAAGGUCAGCUAUUUUACCUGUUUGUUAUUCAUCAAGUUCAGAUAGAGACUGUGAUUGGUCCCUGAAACCCUGCGCUGGAAUGUGAUUGGACAACUGAUGAUCAGCUGAUAAAGUCAUGAAUCUUUAAACCAAUCAGAUUGUUCCUUAUUACUAGAAACAGGCCUCAGUGACAACCCCCUCCAUCCACUGCUCAACAUAUUUGUAUAUAUUAAUAUAUGAGUUUUUGUCACAGUCUUAAAGAUAUCUUAAGAGUUUUAGUAGCUUUUUCAGAUGUGCAAAUGGAGAUGCUUUCAAAUUGAUUUUGUUUAAAGAAUUGAGUUUCAAUAGGCUGCUUAAAAAUUUUUAUCUUAACAAAAUUGUGAUAAUUUAAUGUUGUUUGCAAAUCCAUUGAAAAUGCAAAAAAUUAAGAGAAUGAAAUAUUUCCUAUGCAGUUUCAUCUAUGCGUCUACAUAAUAGAAUAGCGGUACAUUUAUUGUGUUUGUUGGGAGGGGAAGGUCUUCUGAAGCAUGUUUCAUUUUGGAAAGGUUUGCACACAGCUUCAAACUGGGUUUGCUUCAAACUUGAGCAGGCAUUUGGAGUGCAAACGUCUGAUCCGCCAGUAAGAGCUUUAAGAUUUGAGGGUUUUUUUUCCUUCCAAUGCUGAAACAGAGAACUGUGCUGAUUGACAAAUGGUGCGUGUAACAAGAUCAGAGUUCAGGAUGACAGUGGCGCAUGUGCACUAGUUAUUGUAUGACAGAGUAUGUACCGGUGUUCCCUAUUAACCAGUUUGCGCCGGGAUUAUUUUGACAAGAACGGAACGAGGCACGGGAUUACUUUUUACUGGACGUCAAUGCCAGGCGGGUUCAAGCCAUCACCCUCAGGAAGCACACUCAUAUUUCUGGCCUUACUCCCUGCGAGCGGAUUGGUGACAGAUAUUUCAGGCCUCGCUCCCUACAAAUCCAUCAAAAGUCAAAUCACAAGUCCAUCGCAAGCCAAAUCACAAGUCGGUCACAGCGCCUUUGUCACAAUUUGCUCAAGUUGGAUUCGAACCCACUUUGCACCAUUCAUUCGAAUACCCAGUCACUUGACUUGAGACUGGGUGACUUGUUAUAACUUACGAAGACUUCACGAUAACUUUGUUUCACAGUUUCACAACUUAAAUGAAGUUACAGGCCUUAUUAUACUGUAUGUCACUCCAAACAUUCCGUGGUACUUUCAGUUCCGAUAUCAAAAGCUUAAUACCUUCAAUGUAUCUAAUAGUAAUAUGGAAUAAAUGAAGAAGAAUCAUCUGCAAGGGUCAUAAAUCUCAGAAUCCAUCAAUGCCGAGAGUCGUUGCUGUUAACAUGCUUGUUAACUACACAGCAAUUGUCAUUUUGAUGAUUAAUGGCACUUUUGAACAGACAAUGUCUUAUCCAAGAAAAUAAACCCUGGCUUUUCAAAAGCUUACAUCCGGUCAUGUCUGGCAAGCAGCCCAUCAAUAAAAAAUAAACGACAGCAAUAAAUGGAGGCUGUUCGAGACGAUAACAAUAAUAUCAGCUAAGUGCAGCGUUUCAGCGGAACGAACGAGACCUCUUGAUUUGUCAUCUUCAUCAAAUGCUCUCUCGGAGUUAAAAAAAGAAAGGGAAAAAGCCCAUUCUAAUAAUCAAAGCAAUGGCCAAAUGUGAUUAUCGCUUCCGCGCAUCUUCACGCAAUCUCUUAAGGUCUCUGUCUUGUGAUCUGACUCGUAAUUUAUCUUCCUACCUUAAAUGCGCACAAUGUUCGACGCCUACCCAAAUGGUUUGGCGAGACUUGAAAGUCUUCAGAAACCAUCUCGGCGAUUGGAUGCAUGUAAUCAUCAACACUUGGAGAGAGAAUGGCCUUGUGUUUAAUGCCAUCCGUGUUGAGUGGAUGAACUAACAUGCCAUUAGAUGGGUGAUUUCUCUUUUAAUGGUCCAAUCAAAUUAUUUUGGCAAAUGACAUUUCAUGUAGUGAAGGAUCUGAAGACUUGUGAUGGAUGAGAGCAAACAAGACAGAAAGUUGCCCGAGGGGAAAGUUGUUUUUGAAAAAUUGAAAUGUUAUGAAACCUUAUCAAGUUUGUUAUUGAUAAAUAAUCACAUGUGCUUGUAGAAAGUGUUCAUUAAGACCUAAGAGAUUUCAGCCAUUACUAAUUGAUGAAAACUCACAUAGUCAAAUCAAGUUUAGCUGACAUAUGACAUUAACGUGGUGAUUGAUCUCAAAACUUGCGACGAGGGGAAAAAAAGAAACAAAAGAUGCCGCAGGGGAAAUUGUUCUUGAAAAAGUUUCAUCUUGGAAUGCACUGUGACGUCCAGAACUGCUUACAAAAUGAUAAUGUGUUCAUUUAGAAAGUUUUCAUUAAAUUUAAUGAUUGUAGCCAUUACUUUUGACUAGUAAUUUGUCUUAUCUUAAAUGCCCGCCACUUAAAUAAAAACUUUGUAGUAGUCUAAAAAGUACCGAGUCAAAAGCCUAGAACUGAAAAAAAAAAAUGAAAAACAAUAUCUUAACUGAUGAUGGAGAAAGAUUGCUAGCAAAGUUAAGCUAGCUAAAUCGCGCACCAGGAACAAAGAAUGUUAAGAAAUCGAACCACCACAUGCUCUCAGAUUUAAGGGAAAAUACAUCAUAUUUAUGACUAUACUAGGUGUCGUUGCAACUUGUAUUUCAGAGACCAAAAUGUUUGGUAUACGGCAUCUGCAGAAUGGUCUAAUCCAUGAUAAAAAGUAAAAUAGAAUUGUUAUCGAAGGUCUAAAACCAUCGGAAUUUGUGAAAACUGCAAUAAAGGGUAAUUUGGCAAUUGCAUUUCGUAGUUCUGGUGCAAAUAAGUGCGAAUCCAUUUAGAAGGAACAUGCGCCUCAUUGCCAACAACUCGGUUCAUGGAAAUUCAUGAAGGGGUGAAAUUUCACAUGACUAGUCCCCUAGGGCCAUGAAUAUGAUUAAUAUUAUGUUACCAUCUUCAUCUUCAAUAAUAUUUCAGGCCAAUCGGCCUACGGGGGAAUAUACAGCCCUCAAUGAAUUGGCUGUGUCGGCCCUAGGCCACCGUAUGACAUAUCUCAGACAAUCCAGCCAAAUCGGGGGGGGGGGGGGGGGGGGGGGGGGGCUCGAUAGCAAGUGGCCAGAAUGAACAGGUUGUCAAUGUAUUUGCCAGGCAACAUACGGUACACACGCUGUACAGGGCGAGUCAAAAAACAGGAAACCCAAAUGGCAGGACCAAUUAUUUGAUAAAGUUCUGCAUGUAUACACUUUCAAAGUCUAGGAUAUGAACGCCCAAUUAAUAAGCAUUCUUUUAGUAUAACACUAAUCAUUCAAAUCACUCAUGUACUUUUCAAGUUACAGAAUUUCGAACACACACCUUUUUUAAUGUUCUGUUCACGGAUCACAAAAAGGUAACUUUUCUUUCAGUAACACGAAAAAGUACAAGAGUGAUUUGAACGAUUCUUGUUCUAAAAGAAAGCUUAUUAAUUGUGCUUUCAUAUCCCAGAUUUUGAAAGUGCUACAUGCAGAAAGUCAUUUAAAAAAAUGGUCCUGACGUUUUGCUUCCCUUUGUUUUUACUGGCCCUGUAUUUCAUACGUUAUGUGAAAGUGGAAGACUGGCCGCAUUAGAAAGGUGCUGGCAUCCGUGCACUCAGCUCAACGUACUGAGCAAAUUAUGUUGUGUUUAGCAGAGAUAGGUCACAAGCUGUGUAAUUUACAUGUGCAUGUACUGGUUAUCAAAAGUUAUACUAUGGCGGACCAAAUCUUAGAGAAAUGUGUUAGGCCUACAUUGACAUGAUUCUACAUAAUUAAUAUGGAAAGUGAAACAUGUAAUGUUCGUUAUAACUAUAUGAAUGCGUAUGUGUUGAAAUUAUGAUUGUGGUACAAUUUGUGCAAAUAAAAAUCGUUUUAAGUAUCA